AGCGAACGCUAGCGACGUGCCUGCGACAUGCAAGUCGAGCGGAAGUCCACCACUUCGGUGGUUGGCUUUAGCGGCGAACGGUCGAGUAACACGUAAGGAACCUGCCACACAGACUGGGACAACGAACCGAAAGGUUCGCUAAUACCAGAUGGUGAGAUUUGCCGGCAUCGGGAGAUUUUCAAAUCGGUUAUAAAGGAGACGAUAUAACUGGCUGUGUAAUGGCCUUGCGUCCCAUCAGCUAGUUGCGGGGUAAUGGCCCACCAAGGCGACGACGGGUAGCUGGUCUGAGAGGACGAUCAGCCGGACUGGGACUGAGACACGGUCCAGACUCCUACGGGAGGCAGCAGUGAGGAAUCUUGCGCAAUGGGGGAAACCCUGACGCAGCAACGCCGCGUGAGUGAGGAAGGCCUUCGGGUCGUAAAGCUCUGUCAGAUGGGAAGAAAUGGAUGGGGGCUAAUAUACGCCCAUCCUGACGGUACCAUCAGAGGAAGCACCGGA
rnacentral:rRNA from 1 species